GCCAGAAUGGCAUAGUGGUUUCAGCACUGACCUAGGAAGCUGGAGACCAGAGUUCAAAUCCCUGCUUAGCCA